GUUCAGAAGGCAAAGGCGAGUGUACAUCUCCUUUUAAGAACUUGUGACUUGUUAAUUUUACAUUCUUAUAUGGGUGUUGUUGCUGCAGAUUGAGAUUGUGCUGGGCAAAUCAGACAAGUUUGACUCUUUGGUGCCACCUGUGACCAACGGCAAAACUCCCGAGGAGGUAGCUAAAGCUGAGACCGACGCGGCUAUUGAAGCACAAGAAGAAGCUGCUGCAGCCACCGAGGCCUAGGAAGGAGCCUGUCUCAGAAAACACACCACAGAGAAAGAUCGAUAUCACUCUUUUAUUGUGCAUUGUUGUUUUUGUUUCAUUUUGUGUGACAUAUCGAAUGAACAUAAUACUCUAGAUAUGAUAGUAGUUGUUUAGUAUGAGAAAUAUAUGAUUUUUUUUCUUUCUCAAAACAUUCCAGUGAUUUGAUUCUUUUCAUUUUCUUAGAGGAAUAUAAUAAGUAAAAUGAUGGUAGCUGUUUCGUGACAAGCAAUCAUUCAGAGAUGAGAACAAACCAAAAAUAUAAAACAAAAUAAAAAUCAAAUAUUAUAUCAAUGUUUCAAAAUUUGAAGUAUUUUUGGACAAAAACUUUGUAUGGGUUUGCAAAAUCCAUAUAAUAUACUCCUUCAGUUUCAUAUUAUUUGUCGUUUUAGAGUAAAAAUUUUGUUUCAUUUUAAGUGUCGUUUUAUGUUUUCGAUGCAAAAUUUAACAACAAUAUUCUCUAUUUCAUUUUUCUGUUGGUUGAAAUAUGGUUAGAUGUAUAGCUAAUGAUGUUUUUAUUUUGGAAAUAUACAAAAUUAAUUAUUUUUUUAAUCUGUGUACAUAAACCUAAAUCGAUAAAUAAAGUGAAACGGAGAGAGUAUAACGUUAUUUUACAAUUUUAUAUAAUACAAGUAGCUAUAAAGAAAAUUAAAUUAGUAACACAGGAAUUCAUAAAGGCCGAACAGACUAAAGGCCCAUAAUAUUGGGCUUACAGUUAUAAUCAUUACCCAGAAACUUUGGUCAAAAUUAGAAGUUAUCGAAAUUCAGAAGGUGUGAAGUGUAAUAAAAUAGAAGUUGAAUACUCCUGGAUCUCAACUUUAAGAUAAUUCACCAGCGCCUCCAUAACCGCCGGAAUCUCUCACCCUCUCUCUCUCUCUUUCUCCGCCGCACCUCGUUCAAAGCGAGUUUCCGGUUUACUCUCUAAUCCCGUCGAAGGUUCUACCGAUACCACGUAAGUAGUACACACCGUCAUAUCUCUGUGCUGUAGUUCUCGCCUCUCUCAAUUGGCAAUUCUAGGGUUCGUAAAGUCUUUAGUGCUCUAAUCGAUUUUUUCUAGGUUCCCGUUUCACGCAGUUUGGCUCUAUGUGUGAGUAGAAGCUAGGCUUACUAAUUUGCGUGUGUGUAUUCUGAUUUUUUAUUUUUUUUUAAUUAAGUGCUGUAGUCAUGGCUGAAGCUGAGGAUCAGCAAAAUUUCGUCGCAAACAAUGGAGACGAGGUACCAGAGGAUGGGUUGGAUGAGGUCCAUAACGGGUUGCAGUACCAGGUCGAUGAUGAGACUCUCGGUCACCAACCGUACGAGGUUCAAGAUCCGGUUCUUGAACCGGAGCAGUACGAGGUUCAAGAUCCGGGUUUUGAGCCUCAGGAGUUCGCUGGUCAGUUAGAGUACAAUGAUUACCAGGUGCAGGAUGACCAGGUUAGUGAAGAAGUCCAAGACCAGCCGCGGGAUGAGCUGCAGUAUCAGCCGCAAGAUCAGGAGGAGUAUCAGUUGCAAGAACAGGCUGAGUAUCAGGUGGAAGGAGAGGCAGGAGAUCAGGAUGGUGAUGAAGUGCAAGGUCAAGGUGAAGGCGAGGAAGGAGUUCCUGAGCGUGUUGAGGAUUUAGAGAAGUCAGAGCCUGAAGGUGAUGCAACAGCUGGAGGCGAGGAGAAGAGGUGGCCAGGAUGGCCUGGAGAGACGGUGUUCCGUAUGUUGGUUCCUGCACAGAAAGUGGGUAGCAUCAUUGGUCGCAAGGGGGAUGUCAUUAAGAAGAUAGUUGAGGAGACAAGGGCUCGUAUAAAGAUUCUCGAUGGUCCUCCAGGCACAACCGAAAGAGCUGUGAGUCUCUAAAUCCUUUUUUUCAUGCUAUAUAAGUUGCAGCUAUUAGUAAAUGCUCUUGAAACAAAACUAAAAUCUUAAUUAUAGGGAAACUAGUAUAGUAGAAGAUGCACACUUUUUCAUGAAAACAACAAAAAAAUAAAGAAAGAUGAUCUAUAGCUCGUCAAAAUGGGAGAGCCGUCGAGCUUAUAAUUGCAGAAAACCUAAAGUGUAAAGAAGAAGAUGAUAUAUAAAUGAUAGAAUUACCCUUCAUUUAACAUAAACAUUAAAAAUUGUAUAAUAUUGCCUUUUCCCAGUAUCGAACCCGAGUUUAUCUCCUGCUUAAAAGAAGUCUCCACCACUACACUAAGUAAACUUCGAUGUAUUACAUUACAACUAUAUACUAUAUAACCAAAAGAAAUCACCGAUUAAUUUCCGCAAAAUCCCCGAUUUCUUCAUUCGGCGCUAGGCGUAAGCCGAGCGCACGCGUAACGCCUAACGAGUUUCCGAACAGGGAUGGUAAGUAAUAAACACGUUCUCUAGAAUGAUUUUCAUUUUGAUCCAAAACUUUUUUUGUUUUAUUUUUAAUUCCUAAAGUUUAAUUUUUGUAAAAAAAAUCUAAAAACUGUACUUGGUUAAGAAAACAAUGACUAGUCUAGGUGUAUGUAUAGUUGCUAAUUCUAAAUGACUACCUUCGAUUGACCAUACAUAUUAUACUACUCCAUUCGUUUCCGAAAGUAAGAUGUUUUAGAUUUUUUACUUGUUACACAAAGAUAUAUUUUCUAUAUGUUUAAGGUAUUUUUUAUACUUUUAAGAAACAUGAAAUGAAAAUAUUUGAAUUGACUAAAUUUCAUUGGUGAAAAGUUAUUGGAAAGUGUAUAAUAAAGUAAAAAAAAUUUAAUUAUAAACAUUUAUUGAAUUCUUAAUAAGUGUUAACACUUUAGAAAAUCUUACUUUCGGGAACAAAUGGAGUAAUAAACAUAAAAUUCAUAUCAUAUCUUGAAGUGUUAUUCAGAUUAAUUUGUCAAUGAUAUCAUUAUCACAAAUUAAUUUACUAUGGUAAAGUUCGAAAUAUAAUAUUUAUUACCAAUAGAAAUCUAAUACUUGAGAUGUAAACAAAAAUCAUAUUCAGCAGUCAACUUCUCGUCAGUUAGUUUUGAGUUUGGUUAGUAAACAAUCACAAUAAAAAUGUGUUUUCUUUAGCAUUCAGCAACUUCAAACUAACACAAAAAUUAAUAAAAGGAAUUCAAACUAAUCACUAUCCAGUAUUCAAUAACCAUCACACGGCCUUUAAAGUCACAAGAUUGAAUACCACCAAUAUGACAAGUACCUCAUUUAUGAUAACAAUAAUAAAUACCAAUGCGACAAGUUACUCGUUCUGAUAAUAACUACCUCUCCACAAACGUGAUACGGCUACUUACUACAACUGCUUAUUUGAAUUUGUUCAAAUAUGUAUUCGCAUAGAAUAAACAAAAAUCAAUCGAAUAAACGUUUUUCAAAGAAAAAGAAAACAUUCGAAUCUUGUUAAGUUACGUAUUUCAUUUACUCUGUAACGUAAAAGAAAAACGCUUUAAAAUGCUUCCUGCCUUUUCCAGUUCAAACUUCAAGAGUAGUGUUCAUGCUUUCCCUCGUUACUAUAUUUAAAUUUUACAGCUUUAGUAAAGUGUUGUUUUUGAAUAUAGCAUGGUGUGAAUUGAUACGCUCAGACAAUACACUAUAUUUUAAUAUACACACACACGUAUGCUUAUAUGCAGUGCCGUGCUUAGCAUAAUAGGGGCCUAAGGCAAAAUAGCUAAUCUUGUUUUAAUAAUAAAAAUAUCUAGUAAUUUUAGUAUGAUAAUAGUAUUUUAAUAUACGUUGACAAAUAAACAACAGCUUAAAAAAAUUAUUGAAAACUUAUAUUGAAAACAUUAUAUGUCUUGUUAUAAGCUAAAUUCUACAUAGACAAAAAGUUUUCAACAUUAAUAAGAAAACCAGAAGUUAAUGCUCAAAAAAGAAUAGAAAUUGAUGUUUGAUUAUUAAAAGAAAGCAUAUUAAUUAUCACGUUGUUUAUGUCAUAAUCUAUAAAUUCGGGGCCCCAAAAUGAACUAAUACGAGAAGGGACCUGAGGCCAAUGCCUCAAAAUCAAAAGGGUAGGCACCCCUCUGCUUAUAUGUGCUCUUAAUUUUAAUUAUUUCAAUGCUCGUAAUAACAAAACUUUUUACAAAGUGAGUUUAUUUCAACUGUUUGAAAAUUUAAUUAGAAAAAAAACUUUUUGAUAAACGACGUCCACGUUGCGUAGGACCCGCCACCCACGUCGCAACUCAAAAUCAGAUUAUCCUUUGGCGGCAAAAUUGAUAGGAAAACAUAAAACAAAAGACAAAUCGGUGGGUUGGUCCAACAAAUGGUCCCGAAUAACAUUUUGCCUAUUAAAAUGAUAACAACCGACGAGAUUGGUCUGUGUAUUGUGGAUAUGGAGUGGACCAUCUCUUUUCCAUUGACGUUGGAGAAUGGAGACUAUGAUAAACAAAGACACGAUGGAUGUUCACUGACUCGUCAAACAUGAAUGAAUGUAACCAAAUCAUUCACACUCAAUAAUGUUGUGUAUAAUAUAUCAAUAUGAUUUGAUUAUAGUCCGGAAAAUCCAAUUUAGUUUGGAGUCUCUGUCUUUGUAAUGCAGUUAAUAACACUUCCAUCUGAAUCUUUAUCGUUCAAAAGUGAGAGUAUUUGUACGCACAUACUGUUUGUAACAUACGUGAAAGUAGAUACUAAAAGAACCUCAGGCCCAUUUAGGUUAGCAUAUUGUUGGCCCAUUUAGGUUGGCACAUCCGCUAACCUUACAAAGCUUGGGGUAAUCUCGUAAUUGAAUAUACUUGAAACGAGAUCAACCAAUCCGUUUUUCGCUCUUACUCGGUCAACAAACCACUCACAGACGAACACGUGGUUAAUUUCUAUUGGCCUUACGAGAAACGCACCGGGUGCUAUAUAAAUACCGUUAAGCGUCGUAACGGUUUUCUAAUUCCCCGAGUAACGAACCGAAACGAUCAGAGAGAACUUUUCCCGCUAACGAGAGAGAGAGAGAGAGAGAAGAGAGUGAUCGAAGAAAGAAGAUGGCGAUGGAAGUAUCAACACCGGCUCCGGCACCGGAGAGAAACAUCGUCCUCGCGCCGCCGUCAGUGAAGGCCACCGCCGAGAGUCACAAGAAGAACAGGAUCCAAGUCUCCAACACGAAGAAACCAUUGUUCUUCUACGUUAAUCUCGCCAAGGUAUGCUAAUUUCUCACCGGAUCUACGAUUUGAUCACGGAAGCGUGAGAUCCGCUUGAUUGUAGAUCGUUACAUAGUUGAACAUCGAUUCGGAAUUUGAGUUUUGCUUGCUUGAUCUUAUUGUAGAAGUAAUGAUUUACAAUAGAUCUUCGGUCUUGAUCUCUGCACACCAAGUGUUUGUUCGUAUUCCUAAUCUGAAUGCAAUCUCGUGCGUUUGAUUCUUUUAUUGUUUGAUGUGUAGAGGUACAUGCAGCAACACAACGAGGUCGAACUCUCUGCACUUGGAAUGGGUAUAGAUUUUUAAGUAUUUACUUAGGAUUAUUUACAAGAUCUUUCUCUUUUGUGUAAUCUUAUUUGAACUGUGUGGUUUGUGCAUAGCGAUCACAACUGUGGUAACGAUCUCUGAGAUCUUGAAGAACAAUGGAUUAGCUAUAGAGAAGAGUAAGUACAGAGGAGUCUCUCUUUUUAUGAAUUAAGAAAAAAAUGCUUUCGUCUGAUUCAAGAAACUGUUUUAAUCUUUUGUUCAGAAGUGUUGACAUCGACUGUGGGAAUGAAAGACGAGACUAAAGGAAGGAUGGUUCAGAAGGCAAAGGCGAGUGUACAUCUCCUUUUAAGAACUUGUGACUUGUUAAUUUUACAUUCUUAUAUGGGUGUUGUUGCUGCAGAUUGAGAUUGUGCUGGGCAAAUCAGACAAGUUUGACUCUUUGGUGCCACCUGUGACCAACGGCAAAACUCCCGAGGAGGUAGCUAAAGCUGAGACCGACGCGGCUAUUGAAGCACAAGAAGAAGCUGCUGCAGCCACCGAGGCCUAGGAAGGAGCCUGUCUCAGAAAACACACCACAGAG
rnacentral:lncRNA from 1 species